GAUGAACGCUGGCGGCGUGCUUAACACAUGCAAGUUGAGCGAAGCGCUUACGACAGAACCUUCGGGGGAAGAGGUAAGGGACUGAGCGGCGGACGGGCGAGUAACGCGUGGGUAACCUGACUCAUACAGGGGGAUAACAGUUGGAAACGGCUGCUAAUACCGCAUAAGCGCACAGUAUCGCAUGAUACGGUGUGAAAAACUCCGGUGGUAUGAGAUGGACCCGCGUCUGAUUAGCUAGUUGGAGGGGUAACGGCCCACCAAGGCGACGAUCAGUAGCCGGCCUGAGAGGGUGAACGGCCACAUUGGGAAUGAGACACGGCCCAGACUCCUACGGGACGCAGUAGAGGGGGAUACUGGCCAAUGCGGGACGCACAGAUAAAGCGGCGGCGCGUGAAAGAAGAAGUAUCUCUGUAUGUACACUUGUAUUAGCAGGGAAGAGAAUGCCGGUACCUAACUAAGAGGCCCCGGCUAACUACGUG
rnacentral:rRNA from 1 species